rnacentral:lncRNA from 1 species
UUUAUUUUAUUUACUGUAUGGUGUAGGUUUAUUACCCAUACAACAGUAUUUAUUUAAGAGGGUGGUGCGGGUUUAUCGCCCAUGCCUUUGCUUUUAUUUAAAUGUAUGGAGCAGAAUUAGUGCCCAUACAAGCACGUUUACUUUAUCGCAAAUUUACUUUUACUUAAAGUAUUAUUUAUGGUAUGGUGUAGGUUUAUUACCCAUACGGCAAUAUUUAUUUAAAGGGUGGUGCGGGUUUAUCGUCCACGCCUUUGCUUUUAUUUAAAUGUAUGGAGCAGAAUUAGUGCCCAUACAAGCACGUUUACUUUACCGCACAUUUAAUUUUAUUUAAGGUAUGGUGCGGGAUUAACGUCCAUACAGCAAGCGAUUUAAUUUAUUUAAGGUAUGAUGCGGGAUUAACGUCCAUACAGCCAGCAAUUUAAUUUAUGAAUUUAAUUUACUGCACAUUUACAUUUAUUUAAAAGGGUGGUGCGGGUUUAUCGUCCACGCCUUUACUUUCAUUUAAA